rnacentral:snoRNA from 1 species
CCUGUGAUACCUCAGGCACCCAACUACCCACUGACCCUCAUCUUUUCAGACUUUCUCUUUUAGACCCAAUAAAAAGGCAAAGAGCCCUUCCAGAAAGUCCCCCAAUAACAAGUCUAUUUUCUUAGUGGGAUGCCUGACACCUGCCCCUCACUGUAAGGCAGGUCAACGGCACUGCCAGCCUUGCCUCCGGUUCCUAGUGGCUGGCUGCAGGGGGCCCACAGGGGGGGACCAAAGUGGGUCCCGGCAGGAGCCAUCUGAGUGCAGCCUUGGAUCUGACA